CGCCCCGCGCCCUCCGCCCCCCGGGCCGCCCGCCCGCCGCGGGGCAGCGCCGGGGUGCCAGCGCCGAGGGGCUGUUCUCUUAAAAAAACCCUCCUUUUCUCCGGGCUGAACCCAAAGCCUUCUUUUCUCCGGGCUGAACAAUCCCACGUCUCAGCCUUUCCGCGUACGAGAGGUGCUCCAGCCCUCUAAUCAUCUUCGUUGCCCUUAGUUCUUGUUUGUAAGAAGUAUCAUUGUUUCUGUAUCCUUACACCCUUCAGAUGUUUAGUGGUGUGAGCUUUUCAGCAUUCCUGGUGAAUUACACAUUCUGGGAAUUAAUCAAAGCUAUUUAGUGAAUGAAGUUAUUACGUGGAGGAUCUUCCUGUCCUUACCUGUGACAGAGGGAUGGUACUUAUAUACAGGAGGAGAAUGGAUUUCAGGAAGGGCAUGAGCAUCUCGGAGUAAAAAUAAUUAAAUCCUGCCAAGAUCAGCUGCUGUCCAGGGACACCACCCAGGUCUAAUUCAGAGAAAAAAUAGUCAGACUGAAGCACAGCAAAAGGUGAAGAAGUUGCGAUGAGGAACUUGGUGGUACAUGAACUCUGCAAACCAGCUGGACACGACAAACAGCCUUGGUCUGAGGGCACGUGUGGAGUACAGGAGAAUCAGGGGUGUGUGUGUGGGGUACAGGAGAAG